GAUGAAGAACGUAGCGAACUGCGAUAAGUAAUGUGAAUUGCAGAAUUCAGUGAAUCAUCGAGUCUUUGAACGCACAUUGCGCCCCCUGGCAUUCCGGGGGGCAUGCCUGUCCGAGCGUCAUUGCUGCCCUUCAAGCCCGGCUUGUGUGUUGGGUCGUCGUCCCCCCCGGGGGACGGGCCCGAAAGGCAGCGGCGGCACCGCGUCCGGUCCUCGAGCGUAUGGGGCUUUGUCACCCGCUCGAUUAGGGCCGGCCGGGCGCCAGCCGGCGUCUCCAACCUUCUAUUUUACCAGGUUGACCUCGGAUCAGGUAGGGAUACCCGCUGAACUAAAGCAUAUCAAUAAGCGGAGGA
rnacentral:misc_RNA from 1 species